CGACUCCGCCCUCAGAAGUAGUUUCCUUUUAAAAAUUAACCUAUUCGGUUGUUGCUAAGAAGAUAUCUAUCUAUUCACGUUGUAGAAAACAGAGAACAAUAAAAGAAAAUAAACAAAAGACUUUUUUCUCUGCAAAUAUCCACGUUUCACAUGCAUAUUUCCACAUAACUGAGCUAUCCCUACGUGGCCUGGGAAAAUCAGUGACUGCAGGUGCCUCAGCAGAGCUGUCAAGGAACUCAUCAUUGGGGUGAGCAGCGUGGCCAACAGAUGUCCAAACAGUGUGGUUGGCCACAGUGACUGAUACAGGGUCUACUCAAAGAACCCGUUGCUCUCAGACCAAGUUAGUGCCUGCCUCUGCUGUGCUUCCGGGCCUCUUCAUACCUGAAGGAAGGCGGAGCCCAUGCUACAGAAUGGUGGAGAGAACACGUAUUUCCAGCUUUUCUCAUUGCUUGAGUUCCAGUCUGCAUCACUGCCCAUCUGCUUCUGUGUGUAUGUGCUGUUUGGAAGUAGGGCUUAGCUGAGCCCCAGCUUUGUACCAGACCUGGUACUGGAUACUUGGCAGACAUUCUCUUGAAUGCACACAGCUCACCCUUUAAAUUAAGCCUUAUUAUAACCAUUUUACCUUUGAGGUUCAGAGCUGCAGCUUUCCAUGGGACAUGCAACUACAAUGUGGCAGAGUCCAUUUUCAAAGCUCGCACUCUUUCUGCUACAUCAUACUGUUUGCUUUUUACAAUAUGAAUCAAGUCCACUAAUUAUCCCUAAUGGGCCCAAAUUAUUGCUGUUAGCCCCAAGUCUGGGCCUCUCUGCCUCUCAUAUUGGAACUGCUCAAUUCACUCUUUCACAUCAACACUGGUUAUGAAAUGGAUCUCCAUUCCCCAGCCAAAAGCUUACCCUCUCCUGGCUUCAUCCAAAGUCAGGCCCUUUGAGUGUCAGAGGUCACGCUAAUUUUUCCCAGAGAAAUGGACACAAUGAACAUGGGUUUGUUACCACACUCACAAAGUCCUACUGAUCCCUGCAGUGGAAUCUUGACACUCUGGGCCAGGGAACAGAAACAUCUGUUCUCUGUAUUUAUUCCUGAGGUUGGUUAUCUGUCUUCCCACCUGACAACUUUCGCCCCUGAUAUCAUCCAAGCGGAGACUUUGCAAACUGUUCCCUGAGGGCCUCUGUUGCCAGCCUGAAGGUAACUUCAAGAUAGGUAUAGCAUCCCCUUUUCCCAGCUGAGAGCCUCCUGCCUAACUGCCAGACCUUUGCUCCCAGAUUAGUUUCUCAGGCAUUGCCUCCUAAGUGAACAUAGGGUAUGCUCUUACACCAGGGUUUGCUGAACUACUCUUCUAUUUUUAGACAUUUUGUGGUUUCCAGUAUUGUGCUUCAGCAAGGACAAUGAAUAUUAGUAUAGUCUUUGGAAUCCAAUACACUUGGACUCAGAUUCCAGCUCUGCCACUCUAGCUGUGUGACCUUGGGGAAGUCACUUCACCUCUCUGUGCUUCUGUUUCUUUGCCAAUAAAAUGAGGGUGAUAAUAAAAAUACUACUCCAAAAAAUAAAAAAUUUAAAAUUUAAAAAAUACUACUUCCUAGAAUUUUUAUAAGAACUAAAUAAGAUAAUGAAUAUGAAGCAUUGAUCACAUACUUAGCACAUAGUAAUUGCUAAGUAUCACCUAUUACUUUUGCAAAUACUAUGUCUUGUUUGGGAUUAAUUGGGGACAAAGGAAUAUCAUUAUCUGGGCUUCAUUUUUCUUCAUAUGAAAAGGUUGGGAUUUAGAGCUCUCAUGUACUUAGAGUUUCUGUACCUUGGUUCUGAGGUUUUUGAUGCCAUAGCUGUUUAGAGGUGCUUGUAGUUGGAGUAAGCAAAGAAGUCUUCUUGCCAGAGGUGGUGCUGAGCCAGAGUUCCAGGUUUGCAUUCAACUGAACUUAACCAAGAUACUCAACCAUCUGGAACAUUGAUUUUGGCCUUUUGCCUCUUUAACCUUGUUUUUCUUUUUUUUCCAUUAAUGCCUCCUUUGUUAGGUCUUGUGUGUUAUUGGCUGUAUAGUGAUGAAUAGAAAUUCUGCUUCUGACUAUGUGUUUUCUUGCAGGUCUGUGUUAACUGGAGGAGGUCUGAACUCCCUGUUUGGCAAAAGGCAGUUCUGGAGUUUGCACUUCUUAUUUCCUGAUCUGAUGACAGAAAAGAUAACCAUUUCAGAAGUGCUUUGAGGUACAUGGCUUCAACUGAGAAGACAACUGGGAUAUAGCUGCCAUUUCAGCUUUUUUUGCCAUGUUCGACCACCUUGCUCAUUUUGUUGAUCUUGUUCCCAACAAAGAAUUCUAUUUGAUGGGAAGAACCAAUGAUGCCAAAGACAUCAGGGGUAAGUCCACUGUUACCAAAGUAUAAAAGUCUGAAUAGAAAGGCCAGUGUUUACAUUUCAGUCAUGGUGCAUUAUAAGACAUCAGGUAGGAAGUAAAUUUUUUUAAAUGUCUAGUUAAUAGAUAGAGAAGAAAGUAAAUUUGCUCCCUUCCUGCUUGAAGAAAUAGAUCCUAAGUGCUGGGGGUAUACAGGGACAUGUGAUACCUGGGCCUAGGAGAGAUCUUUGCCAAUUUCAAGAAACAUUUGUCAGUUGUUUACUUUUGUUGUGACCUAAAAAGAGCAUAAGCAAAAGAGUUCAGAGGAUGCUUUAGACAUUUCAGAUAAACUAAUAUCUGUGAGUUUCUUCAAUUCAAAAUAUUUUCAGCUUUCAAAGAUAGUGUUACAUAGAACUUGGUCUAUAUAGACUGUGAUUUGAAAUCAAUUCCCUGUUAACGUGGUUGUAUUUAAAGGCUUUCAGUGGCAGUAGGUAAAUAGGAGCAGACACAGUUAAAGUUGUUCUAUCUUUAAUGCCUUCUCAGUUCAUUAACCUCCAGUGAUUUUUUUUAUUGAAGGAUUGUAAAAUCAUAGUCAUCUCAAUAGAAUUUAGUCCUUAUGUAAUUUAUUCUUAUUUUAGGUUUUAGUAAAAAUUAUUUGAAAUAAGUGGUCACUCACAUUUUAAGUAGAAGCAUAAGAAAAAAAACUGACAUUAAUUAAUGGUUUGUUCUGUGUAUUACAACCACCACUGCCUUAAGUAUUUGGCUUAACUUUUCAAGAACCAUUCUGAUUAUCUAAUUGAUAGAGAUACAUGCAAACCUACAAAAAUGUUUUUGUUCUCAUUUCUCUAGAUUUUCUACAUUGUCAGUGAAGAGUUCUUAAUCAGUUUUGAAAUCACAAUGUAUUAAUUUUGAAUUGCCUGAACUGUGAAAUCUGAUUACCUUGUGCCAGCACAAACUCUCAUUGCAGAGCUUGUGUUUUUUUUCUUUUUCUUAUGGAACUGUUUGUUAGUUACCUUGGAAUAUCUAAGCUUUUAAAAUUGAGUUUUACUUAUUUAAUAAGUUAAUAACAUUGGUGAAUGUUUAUGAGUUUUAUAGACCAUAAAAUUUUAGCCAUUGGCCAUAACUUGGGGGUCAAGUAGAGGGUUUCUAUUCAGUAUCUGUUGCAGCCAGAAGUUGUGGGUCAUGGACAU